CCCCGCUGCACUGUGAAAGGGCGUCAGGGUGGGGAGGCUGAGCCUGGGAGGGAGGGAGGUGCGGAGCCGCCGCAGGUGUUUCUUUUACUGGAUGCGGCUCAUGGCCGCAUCCAGGUUUUGCUUUUCACCUUUGAGUCUGUGAGAAAAGGAGCAGGAAAAAGCAAAAGGCGCUGGUGGCAGCACACCCAGCACUGCUGGGCCGGGGUUCAAGUCCCCGUGGCGUCCCUGCUUCUUUCCUGCUUCUGCUCCAGGCCCUUGCCCACCCCCCCAUCAGGGGCUUCCUGGUCCCCCAGGAGAGAGGUGUCAGGGUGGGGUACCUGGGGCCCUCUCCCAGGAGCACUCCUGCUCACCCCCGUGGGGCAGUGGGGCCAAGACAAGAGGGCAGGGUCCUGCGGGUCCUCUCAGGAGCUGCCCGUCCCCUGGGCCACAUGUAGCAGGUGAAUUAGCACCAUCUGCCCACUCCUGUGGGAAGGGGAGGAGGAGAGCCUGGGACCUCCGAACCCCAAGGCUGAGGGGCCCUGGAGUGGCCACACUCCUCAGGGUGUGCUCCCCACCUGGCCUCUCCAUCCCGGGCUCCCAGGAUCAACUCACCACCACCCUCAUCUCUGCCUCCGAGGACCAGGAUGGCUCUUCCAGGGAGGACUGGGUGGAUGAGGUCAAAGGGGAAGUGGUCUGGCUAGAGGCUAGUAGGGCCAGAGUGGCCCUGGGGGAGCAGGAAGAGAAGGACCAAAAACAGGCCCUGGUGCAGGAAAUGCAAAUGAUGGUGGGUGGCAGGAGGGGCCAGGGUGGGCACUGCGGUCUGAGCCUGUACUCCAGGCACCUGGGACCUGGAGGAGGAUCCAAGGAGACCCCCCCCCCCCCCAGCCCCACGGCUUGGGACCCAGCAGGAGCAGUGUGCUGUGAUCUUAAGCUCCCACGCAAGCUCACAGCGGCUGCCUCCUCCUUCAGUCUCUGACAUUCUCUGCUCCUCUCCCAGCUUGGGCCAGCCUCCCCAUCCCUCCCACCCCCCCAGAAAGAGGUCAGAGGGUCACAAUCCACUUCCUUGGCCAUCAUGCUGAUGCUUCAGCACCUUGGAACAGGGCUGCUGGGCUCCAGCCUGACCCCAUGAUUCCCCAGGGGCCCCUCCCAUCACUGCAAUCAUCUCUUCCUUUAACAGCCCGCCUCCCAGAGGGAACAGCUCACCCACUAGCCAGACGUCUCCCUCUCUUCUCACCUGGAGCUUGCUGUGGGUGGUCCUUGUAGAUACGGUGGGUGAUGUUGGGCACCUGGAAGCAUCUCAUAAAGUGGGGCAGGUUGGGUGGGAAUGGGGGGUCUGAGAAGGGUAGAGAUGACAAGGCAAUUCUCCCUAGGCCUCAUCCCCCCAGAGCUGAGGACCUGUCCCUUCGAAGAGUCUGCAGAGGGGCAGGGCACUAGUUGGCCAAGCCACCUUCAGAUUCCAGGUCAAGGGCCUCCCGUCUCCCUAAGUUUAGAGCCAAGACAAGAUAGUUCACCCUGGGACCCCAAUGUCCAGCACAGGGCCCAGCACUGAGUAGGUGCUCAAUAGGCAUCUAUGGAAUGAAGGAAGAAAUGAAUGUAUGAAGAAAGAAAGCAGGGCCACAGCUGCUGUGGGUCUUUAGGUGGCCCUCUGAGAAUGACCUCUCCCUUCUUUAGGCCAGGAAGUCCCACAUAGAUCUCUGAACAAAGGAACAGCAUUCUAAGUGACUUACGUGGAUCUUCAUUUUAUCCUCCCAACAGCCCUCUGAGGUCAGGUGCAGCAUUAGCUCUAUGUUGCUGAAACUGAGGUUGGGAGAGGCUAAGUGACUAACUCAAGGUCACACUAGCAGUUAAGUGGCAGGGCCAAAAUCAAACCCAGGUUCACUGACUUCCAUGCCUGUGUUCUUCUCAGCAUGCCACACGUCCUUGAAUUAGAAACCACAAGAAGGGAUGGGAGAGGGAGGCUACGGCAGCAACACAGGCCUGCUGCAGGCAUCCAUGCCCUUGGUCCUCUCUGCGCUUCCCUUUCUCCCAUCUGGGAAGGCCCUGCCCUAGUUGUGCGGGUGGGUACCAAGGAAACAGAGGACUCUACUUCUGGGCCCUACCACAAGCCUGAGGUAGAUGCCAGCCCUGGGGGAUCUUACCACAGGUCCUGUUUCCACCAGGCAGACCACAGGUUAAGGCAGGAGUCCAUGGAGUGUGGGGGUAGGGCUCUUCUACAAAUUCCAAGGGCCAAGGUGAUGGAUACUGCUGCCCUCACAGUACCCUUAGAGGUCCCCCAACCUGCAAGCUACCUCAUGUCCUGGGCUCACAUGAGGUGGAGGUGCCAGGCAUUCAAGAUGAGACAUUGUGUGUGUUUGGGGGCUUUGGGAUGCUUCUGGGAGCAGCAGGAGCUCCACAGACAGCACUCAACCACAGGCUCCACCAUGGUAGGGUGAUUAGGCAGCCCCCGGGUCUGUGUCUGAAGCAAAGAAACAACCAUCUUCCUCUCAGCCGCUGGCCUCCAGGGAUGGGCAGAAACUCAACAGGUGAAAGGAGAGCAUGCCAGGUGGGGAGCAAAGCAGCAGCAAAGGCCUGGAGCUAGAAAAGCAUUGAGUUCAGUUCAUCAGGAGCCCGGGAGACUGGUGGGACACGAGGCUGGAAAAGGGCUGGGCUCUGAUGAGCCUGCUUCUCCAGAGCAUCUGCGGGGCUCAAGUGAGGAGAUGCAUUUGAAGAAUUCUGAAAAAAUGUCUGGAUCACAAGUCUAACUCAACAUAUUUCCAUUUUAUUUACUUAUUAACAGUAAUUUAUGUUUCGCUUACUCUGUGCCAGACAUUGUUCUAAAUUCUUUAUAAAUAUAUUAACUUACUUAAUUCUCACAACAAUGAGUAGGUUCUAUUAUUUCCAUUCUCAGAUAAGAAACCUGAGGUACCAAGAUGACGUGACUUGCCCAAGGUCAUACAGAUUGUAUGUCAUGGAGUUGGGAUUUGAACUCAGUCUGGCUCCAAAGUCUGAACCAUCACACCAGGCCAAGAUCUAAGGUUUUCAAUAUUUAAAAGUCUAUCUUUCUGGGACAGGCUUUUUCCCAGCUUUCCCCAGUUUUGGUUUUAUGCUAAGUGGGAGUCAUAUGUAUUUCUUUCAAUCUUACAAGACAGUAAUUAUUUCUACCCAGCUUCACAGAAGAGAAGAGUUAGGCCGGGAGAGAGUAAAUUCUGAGUUGGGUUUCAGACCUAGAUUUUGUCUUAAGGAUCCUCUUCGAGUAUUUCUCUUUCCAACAACCCCCCACCCCCACCCCACCCAUCGCUGGACUAGGCCUGAUGGCUACAAUGGGAGAGGCAAAGCGGGACGGGUUGGGGGUCCGAGGCUCUGGGACGCACUGAUCCUGGUCAGUCUCAUCUCCCCCGCUGUAGCUGGAGCCACCUGGGACGUCCCGGGCCGCCCGCUCCCGGGUUGCGCCCUCUACAUCCUGGCCGCACCUGAAGCCCCGCCGCGGGACCGUCUGCCUCGCGCACCCGUCGCCAGCCCGCUCGCUCGCUCUGCACCCUAACUCUGUGCUUAAACAGAGAUGUCCACCUCGAAUGAGAAAACCGAGGUUCCAGCGGAGCACUCUGCUCCAAGGUCCCGACAAAUAGCUAGGCUUCCGUCCGAGCGCUAGGCGAAGCGGCUCGCAUCCUCUGCCGCGUGCCAGGCCGGCAGGGAGCCCGCUUUCCACCUCUGCGGGACCGACCGGAGCGCAGACGUCACUAUCUCAACCCGCCCCUCUGAGAGGCUCGGCGCGCCCUGGACAGCUCCUGCGCCUGCGCAGACCGCGGAGGGGCGUGGCGAGGAGGACGGGGGCGUGGCCUUGGAGGAGGGCGUGAGGCGGCGCGGGGCAGUGACGCAAUGCGCCCCUAGUGGCGGGUGUCGCCCUCACUGUGUACCCUCGGGAUUCGGUUUCCAUGGUUACGGCGGCGCGAGGCAGAGUCCCAGGUAAGAUCCCCGUAGAACUGAAAGGUGACACCUGAGGGACUGGAGCCAACGGGGCUCGGGAGAACGGAGAAGCAGGGCCGGACCCCGGGCCGGCGGGAGGCCCGGCCCGCCCCGCGCGUGUCCCUCCUGCGCGCUCUGGUCCUCUCUACCCCGCGGGUCCCGUAGGAUGCUGUCCCGUCCACAAGCGCCCUUCGGCCCCACGAACUGUCCUGGACUCCCACGCCCCUCCUCCUGUCUCCCCCAGCUGCUGACCUCACUCUUCUCCGUCCUCAAGUCGCCAACAUGCAGCUGUUUGUCCGCGCCCGGGAGCUGCACACUCUUGAAGUGACCAGCCUGGAGACAGUUGCCCAGAUCAAGCCUAUGUAGCCUCCUUGGAGGGCCUCACCCCUGAAGAUAAGGUGGUGCUUCCGGCGGGUUCUCCCCUACGGGAUGAAGCCGCCCUGGGUCAGUGUGGGGUAGAAGCCCUGACGACCGUGGAAGUGGUUGGCCCUAUGCUAGGAGGUGAGUGAGGAUACAGAGGCCCCAAACUGGUGCCCAGGGACUAUUCAUGACUUAUUUUGAUUGCCCUGCACGAUGUCUAACAUUUUUUGUUUUAAUUCACAAUAUCUAAAAGUCAGCCGAUUUUUGUGUUAAAAUUCAUGGCUGGCUUUGCUUCCAAAAUUGGGAAGAUCUGGCGACAAUGGGCCUGUGGUCCCACAUACCAAUAGCUGACUAGUGCCAGCCGCCUUUGGACAGUUCUGCAGUUUCCUGCAGUCCCCACUCCUUCCUGUUGCGCCUCAUAACCAGUGUCAGGUACCAUUUAGCAUCAGGCUUGUGCUGAUGUUUCUCUUAUAGUAAAGAAAAGUGAACUCUCUUUUUGUACCUAUGUCUCUAUGAAAAGUGAGAAAACGAAAGGUGAAUUGAGAGCGUCGCAUGUUUCAAGAAAAGUGGGAGCGAGCGUAUUUCUUUGUGGAAGUAAAGAAUAGCCCUAUGUGUUUAAUAUGUAACCAAACUUUGUCGGUGUCAAAAGAAUACAACUAAAGACACCAUUAUGAAUGAAACCAUAGUAAGACUUUUGACUGGUAUACAGAAAAGAUGCGUCAUGAAAAACUUAAGGAACUAAAAAAAGGACUAAACCUUCUCCAGCAUUUAUGAUCGAAUGCAAGUAAAAUAAGUGAUGCUGCUGUGAAAUGCAGUUAUGUAAUAAGUGAAAAAAUUGCCGGGCCAUCAAAACCUUUUACAGAUGGUGAGUUUAUCAAAGACUGUCUAUUGCGUGCAGCUGAAAUCAUGUGUUCGGAACAGAAACAAGCAUUUGCAAACAUAAGUCUAACUGGAAAUACUGUUGCUCAGCGAGUAAAAGAUAUGGCUGAGAACUUACAGGACAAGUUGUGGGAAAAAGUGAAGUUAUUUGUGACAUUUUCUAUUGCAGUUGAUGAGAGCACAUACAUAAAUAAUACAAGCCAGUUAAUUAUAUUUAUCUGUGGUGUUGAUGAGAAUUUUGACAUCACUGAAGAACUUUUGGACGUGGUACCCAUGACAGACCCAACAUCUGAAAAUGACUUAUUUUUAUAUGUUGAGAAAAGUCUUGAAAAGUUUAAUGGUGACUGGUCAAAAUUAGUGAGUGUGACCACAGACGGUGCUCCUGUGGUCUGUGAGAACACUGGACUUGUUGCAAAACUUAAGUCCAAGGUCAGAAUGUUUUGCAAGGAAGCAGAACUUAAAUCCAUUCACUGCAUUAUUCACCGGGAAUUGUCUUGUACCAAAAAGUUAAAACCAGAACAUGUCAUGGAUGUGGUGAUUAACACAGUGAAGUGGAUACGUUCCCGUGGCUCCAGCCACAGACAGUUCGGUGCUUUGCUUGAGGAACUGGCUGCGCGAUAGGGUAAUCUCCUUUACUAUACUAAGGUAAGGUGGCUUAGUCGUGGCAUGGUGCUGAAGAGAUUUUUUGAAUUGAUAAAAGAGAUGGAUUCGUUCAUGUCAUCCAAGGAGAAAUCCCUUCCCCAGCUCACCAGCAAAGACUGGCUCAGAGACCUGGCCUUUUUGGUUGACAUUACAAACCAUCUAAACAUUUUGAAUAUUUCUCUGCAAAGACAUUCACAAGUAGUUACACAAAUGUAUGGUACAGUUUGCUCUUUCCUAGCAAAAUUGAGUCUUUGGGAAACUCAUUUGGCAGUAAAUAAUCUGGCACGCUUUCCUACACUGAAGUCAGUUUCCAGAAAUGAAAGUGAUGGCUUAAUCUACAUCCUCAGAAUUGUAGAGUUGAAGAUUGAAUUCCAAGAAAGGUUCUUUGAUUUCAAACACUAUGAAAAUGAACUCACAUUGUUUAGCUCACCUUUUUCAAUUAACAUUGACAGUGUUAAUGAGGAAUUACAAAUGGAAGUUAUUGAACUACAGUGUAAUACGGUACUGAAAACUAAGUAUGAUGCCACUGGAAUACCAGAAUUCUACAAAUACCUCAGCAAGAGUUACCCUAGGUAUAGAAACCACUGUGCAAAGAUUCUGUCCAUGUUUGGAAGCACCUGUGUCUGUGAACAGCUGUUUUCUGUUAUGAAAUUGAGUAAAACUAAAUUUCGCUCCCAGUUAAAGGAUACAAGAUUGAAUUCAGUUCUGCACAUUGCAACUCGAAAUAUGAGACCAGACAUUGACAUCCUGGUGCAGAAAAAAAGGUGUCAGGUUUCAGGUUCCAAUUCAAGGGAGUAACAGAUUAUGAAAUAAAAUUUUAAUAAUUAAAGAUUUCUGUUUUUUGAUAUGUAUUUUAAAAUUUUAUAUUUGAAAUAUCUAGUAUUAUAAACUUUGUAUAUUACGUGCUGGCACUGUGGUUCAAUAAAAAAAUAAGUUUAGGUGGGUUUUUUCUCCAGGCAUUUGAUUUUUCAUAAACCUGGCCCAUUGUACUUUUUUUUUUUUACCUACUUGGCUGACCAACAGUAGUUUGAGACUUCUGCCUAAUAGAGUUAGUUACCAUGACUAGUUUUUGGUUUUUUUGCUGAGGAAGAUUCGCCCUGAGCUAACAUCUGUUGCCCAUCUUCCUCUAUUUUGUAUGUGAGCUGCCACCACAGCAUGGUCACUUAUACAUGAGUGGUGUAGGUCCACGCCUGGGGACCAAACCCGGGCCACCAAAGCUGAGUGCACCAAACUUAACCAGUAGUCUGCUGGGGCUGGCCCCCAUGAUUAGUUUUUAUGGAUUUUUUACUUAUCUCAAGCCAGGGAAAAACUCACUUGCUGCCUUGAGAAAAAUGUGCCUGAGCUGUAGAAUUUCUGUGGAUGUUGGAGCCAGGUUGUGCUAGUUAUCAAUUUAUUGCCUCUCAGCUCCAAAUUCAGCCUUCAUUGUCUGCUCUCCAAAAGCGGAUCUGAGCCCUUUAAAUAUCUUUCCUCUGACAGCAGGCAUGAUAUUAAAUUUUGUCAGUAGAGGGCACUGGAGACACAUUGCAGAAGAAAGGCGUUUUCUUUCCUGCUUUGCCCACUUGGCAGGCCUCUGCAAUGUAGGUGGCUUCUCUUGCGCCAGGCUCCUGCAGUGCCCAGCAGUCAGCAGCACCCAGGAGCCAGCAGCGUACCCCUUCAGGCAGUUUUGUAAUGGAGUCCUUCUGCUGAGACACUUCCCCUUGAACAGCUUUCCCCAGUACCCUAAAGGGCAGAUUUCCAGCAAAUUCUGUCAGUGUGGCACUGCAGUAAUUUCUCUGCUAUUCUGUAAGCCUGAACCAUGUCCUAGCCAACAAGGCCUGGAUUUCAGCCCUUCAGUGGGGAGCCUUUUCCUUGGGCAUCUGCUCAGCCCUGGGGUAGUGGCCACUCCUUAUACCUGCUGUUUCUUCAGAAUUCUUCUUACAAACCAGUUCCUUUUUAUUUCAAUCACUUGUUGUAGUUAAUAAUUUUUAUAUUAAAUCACUGUUCAAAUUA